GGGCCUGUAGCUCAGUUGGGAGAGCGCCGCGUUCGCAAUGCGGAGGUCAGGGGUUCGAGUCCCCUCAGGUCCACCA
rnacentral:tRNA from 1 species